ncrna:Necropsobacter rosorum L31-Gammaproteobacteria ribosomal protein leader
CACUCGGUGCCGAAUUCAGUUUCGGAAAGCGGAGUGGCUUCAGAUUGAGGU